AUCCAGGUGAAGAGUCCCAAAUAGGACGAAAGGCGCAUCCUGGAU
rnacentral:hammerhead_ribozyme from 1 species